rnacentral:pre_miRNA from 1 species
AGAAGCUCAUUGUCGCCUCCACCCUCUUCUACUAUCUUUUCCACUUUUUUUAAUUCUUAAUCUCUCUCUCGAUUGUCUUUUUUUUUUAGUAACAAAUUGAGAGAGAGAUUAAGAUUAAAAAAAUGGAAAAAGAUAGUAGAAGAGGGAGGAGGCAACAAUGGGCUUCU